AUCAAGCCAUCCCAGGCCAGAGCCAUCUUUCCAGUCCAACUCUGAACCCUCCCCUACACCCCUCCACGUCACCCCCCCCCCCCAUUUCUUUAACCCUGGGUCAGAGCCUGCUGCUCCCUUUGCUCAUGGCAUCCCCUUUCAUGGUGCAGUGGAGUUCACACUAGCCAGUGUUCAGGUAGAUGGAAAGGUUGCCACUGCCCGACCUCUCCUGGGCCUCCCCCAUCUUUGCCAAGUUUCCCCCUUUUCAGAUUUUGCCCGUCUUAGGUAGUUGGAGUCUGGCUCCUAGGCAAUGCCAGCCAUAGCUGAGAGCACAGGAGAGCAGGUGGCUGUGCAAAGCCACUUCCAGGCUGUGGACGCAGGGCUGAGAAAUGGGAAACCUGCUGGUGCCCAUCCAGUUUUGACCUGGCUAGGGCAGCCUUGGGUCAAGGCCUCUCUGUAGUCCUGGUUUCCACCAUCGUCAGGAUGUGCCAGAAAGACCUGCCUCCAUCAAUCUCAAGAUAUGGAACCUCAGGGAACGGAGGGGAGGCACUGCUGAGGAUGUGUGCACCUGUGCAGAUAUCUUCACCCAGUUCUUCACCUUUUAAGGUAGGAGUGAUAAUGGAACCUCACAGAUAUUGUAAUAAAUAAAUGAAACAAUUUAGAGAAAAUCACUUGGCAAUACAUAAUAUGCUAGCAGGGAGGAGGCCUUCGAGGGCAGGCCCUCAUGACUUACACGUCCACAGCUCAAACUCAAGGGCACUUCACCCAGCAGAUUGCCGAACUUCCUACUGUCACUCACUGUGAUGCCUUGGUCCUCUAUAGAAAACUAGAUUAUAAAUUCCUUACUAGAAAGAGGGUUUUUUUAAUAUUAAAAAAGAAAUCCUUGUCCUGAAUUUUAAUUGAAGCACCUGCCACACAUAAAACAUGAGUCCAGGUGGAAAACGGAAAAGCGUGGGGUUUGACAUUUGAGUUGAACCCUGGCUCUUGUCAUCUAUGUACCAUGAGAUUUGGAUACUUUAUAACUUCUCUGAGUGCCAGGUGCUCCAUCUGAAGCGUGGGCAUAACCUCUGGCAUUUAAUAGGCAUACACAAAGAAUAAAACCUGCCUCACAGAGCCAAGUACAUCAACAUCCCAGAUGAAUCUAGCCGAAGUGUUCCUACAUCAAGGUUUGUGCCUGGCCUUUGGGAUUCAGCAGUUCCCUCCAGAGGACUUGUAAUAGAAGCUCUGUCAACAAGUUCUUAACCAUCUCACAAUUCUGCUAAGAGCUUGCAGAUAUCUAGCUGGAAGUUCAAGGAGCCAAGUGAGCACAUUAAAAGGUUUUGCCCACUCGCAGUCUAAGGCGAGAGGUCAUUGGUCUAGGGAGUGCCCUCGUGUCCUGACACCAUCUCUAGAUUGGGAUACAUCGGUUAGCAGGUUGGCUUCUAUGCCCAGCAGUGCCCACAUGGUUGGCGCUGUCUGAAUUUGAAGCAUUCCCUUGCCCCUCUCUGCACUCGGGAGAACCCUGAAUGGAUGGUGAGCACCUAGAGUUAAGAGUGCAGGAAGGUCGCCCGAACACAGUGCGAGCGCCAGGGGCAUCGGCCGCCUCUUCGGAGCAGACCCAGGCAACAUCCACCUGCCGGACAGCGCUGAGACAGGUCGGCAACCAGGCGGAGGGGGUACUAGGCCGGCCCCAGGUGCCCGCUCCUCUCGCCAGCCCUCGGAAGCGCCGCCCUCCCGCCCAGCGGGCUCCGAGGGGGCGGGGAGUCGAACGCCCCCUUCCGGGUGCCUCCGCCCGGCUGGCCAGCCCCGCUCCUCCUCCGGGCGGGAAUCCUCCCUCCCCCGCCCCUCCCGGAGCCGGGCCCCGGCGCCAGGCCCGGCCCCAGAGGGCAACCCCCGGCCCCAGUUCCCCCUCCCUGCGGCCUCUGCCCGUCUUCCCGACCCUUGGGGGCCGGAAAGACCCCGCCGGCAGCGGCCAAG